rnacentral:rRNA from 1 species
AUUGAACGCUGGCGGCAGGCCUAACACAUGCAAGUCGAACGAGUGGCGGACGGGUGAGUAAUGUCUGGGAAACUGCCCGAUGGAGGGGGAUAACUACUGGAAACGGUAGCUAAUACCGCAUACCAUCGGAUGUGCCCAGAUGGGAUUAGCUAGUAGGUGGGGUAACGGCUCACCUAGGCGACGAUCCGUAGCUGGUUUGAGAGGACGACCAGCCCAACUGGGGCUGAGCCACGGCCCAGACUCCAACGGGAGGCAGGAGUGGGGAAUUUUAGACCAGGGGGGAAACCCUAAUCCAGCCAUCCCGCGUAUGCGAUGAAGGCCUUCGGGUAGUAAAGCACUUUUGGCAGGAGAGCGGUACCUGCAGAAUAAGCACCGGCUAACUACGUGCCAGCAGCCGCGGUAAUUC